rnacentral:rRNA from 1 species
AGUGAACGCUGGCGGUAGGCCUAACACAUGCAAGUCGAACGGCAGCACAGUAAGAGCUUGCUCUUACGGGUGGCGAGUGGCGGACGGGUGAGGAAUACAUCGGAAUCUACUUUUUCGUGGGGGAUAACGUAGGGAAACUUACGCUAAUACCGCAUACGACCUACGGGUGAAAGCAGGGGAUCUUCGGACCUUGCGCGAUUGAAUGAGCCGAUGUCGGAUUAGCUAGUUGGCGGGGUAAAGGCCCACCAAGGCGACGAUCCGUAGCUGGUCUGAGAGGAUGAUCAGCCACACUGGAACUGAGACACGGUCCAGACUCCUACGGGAGGCAGCAGUGGGGAAUAUUGGACAAUGGGCGCAGGCCUGAUCCAGCCAUACCGCGUGGGUGAAGAAGGCCUUCGGGUUGUAAAGCCCUUUUGUUGGGAAAGAAAAGCAGCAGGUUAAUACCCCGCUGUUCUGACGGUACCCAAAGAACAAGCACCGGCUAACUUCGUG